rnacentral:piRNA from 1 species
UGGUAUGGACCAAGAGUGACAGGAA